AGCUCCAAUAGCGUAUAUUAAAGUUGUUGCAGUUAAAAAGCUCGUAGUUGGAUUUCUGGUGGGAGUGACCGGUCCGUUCCGAAAGGAAUGAGUACUAGUUGUCGUCUCUUGCCAUCCUUGGGGAGAGCGUGCCUGGCAUUAGGUUGUCGGGCUCGGGAUCCCCAUCCUUUACUGUGAAAAAAUUAGAGUGUUUAAAGCAGGCUUAGGCCGUUGAAUACAUUAGCAUGGAAUAAUAAGAUAGGACUUUGGUGGUCUAUUUUGUUGGUUUGCACACCAAGGUAAUGAUUAAUAGGGAUAGUUGGGGGUAUCCGUAUUUCGUAGUCAGAGGUGAAAUUCUUGGAUUUACGAAAGACGAACUACUGCGAAAGCAUUUACCAAGGAUGUUUUCA
rnacentral:rRNA from 1 species